rnacentral:rRNA from 3 species
GGUUAAGCGACUAAGCGUACACGGUGGAUGCCCUGGCAGUCAGAGGCGAUGAAGGGCGUGCUAAUCUGCGAUAAGCGCCGGUAAGGUGAUAUGAACCGUUAUAACCGGCGAUACCCGAAUGGGGAAACCCAGUGUGAUUCGUCACACUAUCAUUAACUGAAUCCAUAGGUUAAUGAGGCGAACCGGGGGAACUGAAACAUCUAAGUACCCCGAGGAAAAGAAAUCAACCGAGAUUCCCCCAGUAGCGGCGAGCGAACGGGGAGGAGCCCAGAGCCUGAAUCAGCAUGUGUGUUAGUGGAAGCGUCUGGAAAGGCGCGCGAUACAGGGUGACAGCCCCGUACACAAAAGCGCAUGUGCUGUGAGCUCGAUGAGUAGGGCGGGACACGUGGUAUCCUGUCUGAAUAUGGGGGGACCAUCCUCCAAGGCUAAAUACUCCUGACUGACCGAUAGUGAACCAGUACCGUGAGGGAAAGGCGAAAAGAACCCCGGCGAGGGGAGUGAAAAAGAACCUGAAACCGUGUACGUACAAGCAGUGGGAG